rnacentral:rRNA from 1 species
AGUUAAAAAGCUCGUAGUUGGAUUUCGGAGUGGGCCAGUUGGUCCGCCGCAAGGUGUGUUACUGACUGGUUUGCUCUUCUUCGCAAAGACUGCGUGUGCUCUUGAGUGAGUGUGCGUAGGAUUUACGACGUUUACUUUGAAAAAAUUAGAGUGUUCAAAGCAGGCUAUUGCUUGAAUACAUGAGCAUGGAAUAAUGGAAUAGGACUUUGGUCCCAUUUUGUUGGUUUCUAGGGCCGAAGUAAUGAUUAAGAGGGACAAUUGGGGGCAUCCGUAUUUCGUUGUCAGAGGUGAAAUUCUUGGAUUUACGAAAGACGAACAACUGCGAAAGCACUUGCCAAGAGUGUUUUCAUUAAUCAAGAACGAAAGUUAGAGGAUCGAAGACGAUCAGAUACCGUCCUAGUUCUAACCAUAAACGAUGUCGACUAGGGAUCAGCGGGCGUUAUCGUACGACCCCGUUGGCACCUUACGGGAAACCAAAGUUUUUGGAUUCCGGGGGAAGUAUGGUUGCAAAGCUGAAACUUAAAGGAAUUGACGGAAGGGCACCACCAGGAGUGGAGCCUGUGGCUCAAUUUGACUCAACACGGGAAAACUUACCAGGUCCAGACAUAGUAAGGAUUGACAGGUUGAGAGCCCUUUCUUGAUUCUAUGGGGUGGUGGUGCAUGGGCCGU